rnacentral:tRNA from 1 species
GCAGCGGCAGUUCAGCGGCAGAAUCCUCACCUUCCAUGUGGGAGACCCAGGUUUGACUCCUGGCCAGUGCA